GCGAUUUUCUGUCAAUCCAGGCAGAUGAGAAUAUGGACAUUAGCACUCAGAACCAACUUGUGCUCGUGCUUUGCUACAUCGAUGACAGAAACAGUAAAAGGUUUUUUGAGUUCAUCCCACUGACCUUGGUGGAUUUGCCAGUUUUUAUACGAGGUCUCCCAAGCGGACCAGGGUCCUUGAUUAAACAGUGGCUCACAGACUGCCAACAUCCAGCAACGUGAGAUGGAACUUUUACAGCCGGGCCGUCAAUACCGUGUUUGAACACUGAGAAGACCUAAUCGCAUGCUUUAGGAGGAUUCGAUCAACAAUUGGCUAUGAUGACAAAACCAACAAAAAAGAAGGAGAUCACAUUAGGCUACUGGAGGAUCCUGACUUUAAUUUCUUCCUUCAACUGUUCCAUCACAUCAUGCUCCAUGUGGAAUUCCUCUAUGCCAAGCUCCUGAAGAGAAACACAGAUGCAGUUCACAACAAUGGAUGCAUUCAGCAGUUUCUACAGGAGAUACAUAUUAUAAGAGAUUCGAUCCACACAAUGGUGGCGGGGCAAAGCAGUGGCUCUGAGCCGCCGAGGAAGCGCCUUGCUCUCGGGAAGAAGACCUCAGUCGGAUUGCUGCAGAUGUGUGUGAUACAAUAAUGGGACACACCAAGGAACGUUUCGCCUUCACAGACCACCUCAUCAGUGCCACCUUGCUGCAGGCCAAUAGGUUUGGAGAGUACCACACCUCAUUCCCUGAAGUUGCACUGAGCUCCACCUUAAAGACAUAUCCAAUGCUGAAUAGAAGCAAGCUGAGGACGGAGCUGAGUCUCAUCUACGGAAAGGAGGAAUUCAAGAACUUUUGUGGUGCUGUGGACCUUUUUCAGUUAUUUAUGGACAAUAACCUGUCAGAGGUAUUUUCAGAGACUGUCACACUACUUAAACGAUAUCACCCUGGCCUAAUUCUUCCCCAAAACUCUUAAUUUUCUAUUUGUUGUGUUGGGUU